AUGGAUAACCUCAAAACAAUUGAACGGCAUUCAUGUCAACUAGUGUAUAAAAUAUCAUGUGUUUUUAAUUUUUAUUUACUUUAAACUGCUAAAAAAGUGACCCCCCUAAUUAAUUAACACUUGAGACCAGUCAUUCAAAGCUUAAUAAACAUAUUUUUGUUUCUCGACGGCUGUUCUGUUUCUUGCAUAUGUGAGAAGGUGAAUCAUUACAAUUUACUUAUUCUGGUGAACUCAGUUCAGUUACGAGACAAUUGUAAGAUAAGUGAUUAUGUCGUGCGAGCGACGAUAUGAGUUAAUAUCUGUGGUCCUAAUUUUGCUGGUGCUAUUGGACCUAUAUAAUUGUUUAAAAUAAAAAUAAUAUAUAUUAAAUACCGCACUUUAUGUGCAUUGAAAUAAAUCACUUCGAUGUCGAGCAAUGAAAUGAUUUAUUUUAAUUAAAUCAUGUAUUUUAAAAAUAUAAAGAUGUUUUUAACCAACGAAGCUUGUUGGAAAAAACAUUCCAAGAUAUUCAUCUUCUACACUAAGUAUUAAAUAAAACCCAAAAUUGUUUAGACUAAUUAUACAGGAGCUUGCCAUAAUAAUACCCAAAAAUAAAAUAGAUCUUUCUAUGAAAGUUCAUACCUUUCUCAUGAUAAAUAUAGUUCUGGUGUAAAUGUAUAUUAUUUACGUGUUAUUCUUGGUUGUAUAUUCAACCCUGUAUUCAAAAAAAGGGUUAGCACAGUAUGGGUUACUUAAAGUCGCGCGUUUGGGCGCGAGACUUCCCACUGUGACGCACCCCUGAUCUGUCGAUGUUCCCAAUGUUCCUCAAGGUAUCUUUGUAAUCCUGCUGUGCUAGAAAAUUUACUGCUACUCUCUAUACCAAUCCAAACACAUUUUCUCCAAAUCGGAGUGUGUAGAUGAGAGCCACGCGCUCUGCCUAGACAAGGCAUUUCUAGAAGUAUUUUCAUCUUUAACAGAUUGUCUGCUGAAAGGAAUAGAAAGCAGCAAAGAGAAAAGACCUUUUGACUUUGAGGAGAUCAGAAAUAAUUGAAUGCAGUGAUUUGAAGUUUAAAUUAAAAAUAAUGUAGGAUUAUUUGAUCAUGUGUAUGAAGUGAGGAUGGAACAGAAAUAAAUAGAAAUUGACGGUAGAAUAGCAGACGUAGAAAAUCUUGAAUAAAAAGGCCACGCGCCCUCUCGCCGCUGGUGAUUUUGUUUCUAGGAUUGUUCUUUCUUUUUUGGUCGAUAAUAAUAUUUAUUAAUGACUGGAGAUGUUCCUGGGAGACUAGCACUCAACA